AAUGACGGGAGCUUGCUCCCUGAUUUAGCGGCGGACGGGUGAGUAAUGCCUAGGAAUCUGCCUGGUAGUGGGGGAUAACGUUCCGAAAGGAACGCUAAUACCGCAUACGUCCUACGGGAGAAAGCAGGGGACCUUCGGGCCUUGCGCUAUCAGAUGAGCCUAGGUCGGAUUAGCUAGUUGGUGAGGUAAUGGCUCACCAAGGCGACGAUCCGUAACUGGUCUGAGAGGAUGAUCAGUCACACUGGAACUGAGACACGGUCCAGACUCCUACGGGAGGCAGCAGUGGGGAAUAUUGGACAAUGGGCGAAAGCCUGAUCCAGCCAUGCCGCGUGUGUGAAGAAGGUCUUCGGAUUGUAAAGCACUUUAAGUUGGGAGGAAGGGCAUUAACCUAAUACGUUAGUGUUUUGACGUUACCGACAGAAUAAGCACCGGCUAACUUCGUGCCAGCAGCCGCGGUAAUACGAAGGGUGCAAGCGUUAAUCGGAAUUACUGGGCGUAAAGCGCGCGUAGGUGGUUCGUUAAGUUGGAUGUGAAAGCCCCGGGCUCAACCUGGGAACUGCAUCCAAAACUGGCGAGCUAGAGUACGGUAGAGGGUGGUGGAAUUUCCUGUGUAGCGGUGAAAUGCGUAGAUAUAGGAAGGAACACCAGUGGCGAAGGCGACCACCUGGACUGAUACUGACACUGAG
rnacentral:rRNA from 1 species